GCCCGGCUAGCUCAAUCGGUAGAGCGUGAGACUCUUAAGAUUCACGUGAUCAUCUCAAGGUUGUGGGUUCGACCCCCACGUCGGGCU